rnacentral:lncRNA from 1 species
UUUUAAUCAUAAAUGUGGAUGGAUUAGAUGAAAUGGCAUUAAUUUUCAACUAAUUUAUAUUUUAUUUACAGUUUACUCAAUCUAUUUAUGACUAAAAAUUCUGGCUAAAAUUUUUACUCGUGACUAGUUUUAUUUUGAAGUAAAUGACUCGUUCUUCCGUGGUCGACGCAUGCAAUGUUGACCACGGAAGAACGAGUGCUUAUAACACGCGAGAUCAAAAGUACGAAAUGCACGGAAAUUAGAGAGAAUUUUGAGAGGAAGUUUCGUAAGGUAGGUCCAACAGCCCAGGAUAUCCGUGAAUUAGACACGAAAUUUCAAGGAACACUGCAUGGCUUUGAACUCUAUAGAGAUACUAAUGGUGACCUUCUCCUUUUUUUUUCAUUCUUGGCGGCAUUUUCCACUCGGUAAGAGUACUGGGUGGCGGGGCGGGGCGGGCCCUUCCACACGCUGCCCACCCCUACGGAGGGGUCGGCCGGUUUGUGGAGGACGGGGAUCGACCGGCCGGGCCCGGAC